UAUGUAUAUGUGUGUGUGUGUGUGUGUGUGUGUGUGUGUGUGUGUUUUGUAUGCACACACACACACACACACACACACACACACACACACACACACACACAUAUAUAUAUGUGUGUGUGUGUGUGUGUUUUGUAUAUAUACACACACACACACACACACACACACACAUAUAUAU